AGUGAACGCUGGCGGUAGGCCUAACACAUGCAAGUCGAACGGCAGCACAGUAAGAGCUUGCUCUUACGGGUGGCGAGUGGCGGACGGGUGAGGAAUACAUCGGAAUCUACUUUUUCGUGGGGGAUAACGUAGGGAAACUUACGCUAAUACCGCAUACGACCUACGGGUGAAAGCAGGGGAUCUUCGGACCUUGCGCGAUCGAAUGAGCCGAUGUCGGAUUAGCUAGUUGGCGGGGUAAAGGCCCACCAAGGCGACGACCCGUAGCUGGUCUGAGAGGAUGAUCAGCCACACUGGAACUGAGACACGGUCCAGACUCCUACGGGAGGCAGCAGUGGGGAAUAUUGGACAAUGGGCGCAAGCCUGAUCCAGCCAUACCGCGUGGGUGAAGAAGGCCUUCGGGUUGUAAAGCCCUUUUGUUGGGAAAGAAAAGCAGCAGGUUAAUACCCCGCUGUUCUGACGGUACCCAAAGAAUAAGCACCGGCUAACUUCGUG
rnacentral:rRNA from 1 species